rnacentral:rRNA from 1 species
UACGUAGGGGGCAAGCGUUGUCCGGAUUCAUUGGGCGUAAAGAGCGUGUAGGCGGCCGUACAGGUCAGCUGUGAAAACUCGAGGCUCAACCUCGAGACGUCGGUUGAAACCGUACGGCUAGAGUCCGGAAGAGGAGAGUGGAAUUCCCGGUGUAGCGGUGAAAUGCGCAGAUAUCGGGAAGAACACCGGUGGCGAAGGCGGCUCUCUGGAACGGUACUGACGCUGAGACGCGAAAGCGUGGGGAGCGAACAGG